GUAAUCGCGAAUCAGCAUGUCGCGGUGAAUACGUUCCCGGGCCUUGUACACACCGCCCGUCAAACCAUGAGAGUUGGGAAUACCCGAAGUCUGUAAUCUAACCGCAAGGAGGAUGCAGCCGAAGGUAGGCUCAAUGAUUGGGGUUAAGUCGUAACAAGGUAGC
rnacentral:rRNA from 1 species